rnacentral:rRNA from 1 species
UACGAAGGGUGCAAACGUUGCUCGGAAUCAUUGGGCGUAAAGCGCACGUAGGCGGCUUCGCAAGUCGGAUGUGAAAUCCCUCGGCUCAACCGAGGACGUGCAUCCGAAACUGCGGAGCUUGAGUACUGAAGAGGAUCGCGGAAUUCCAGGUGUAGCGGUGAAAUGCGCAGAUAUCAGGAGGAACACCGGUGGCGAAGGCGGUUCUCUGGGCAUUACCUGACGCUGAGGAGCGAAAGCGUGGGGAGCAAACAGG